rnacentral:rRNA from 1 species
UACGUAGGUGGCAAGCGUUGUCCGGAAUUAUUGGGCGUAAAGCGCGCGCAGGCGGUCUCUUAAGUCUGAUGUGAAAGCCCCCGGCUCAACCGGGGAGGGUCAUUGGAAACUGGGAGACUUGAGUGCAGAAGAGAAGAGCGGAAUUCCACGUGUAGCGGUGAAAUGCGUAGAGAUGUGGAGGAACACCAGUGGCGAAGGCGGCUCUUUGGUCUGUAACUGACGCUGAGGCGCGAAAGCGUGGGGGGGCAAACAGG